UUGACGGAAAAAUUCAAUCGAUCUGUCGGCGUAAUAAUAAGCACCCCAUCGUCGACGGAUACGUCGCUGCUCGUCGCAUAUUUUCGCGCGCGCGUUGGAUAACAGCCUCGUAACACGGCGCGUCGCGGUGACACAACUCUGUUCGUGUUAAGUUCCGAGCUCGUCGGCCAACAAAGCGGUGUACGGGACGAGGGACGAUGGUGAAAAGAAAAGAGACGGCAGAGAUUCAGCCGACGUUUCAAGUCAGGCCGAAAGUCUCGCAUGUGCGUGUGAUUCUCCAAGCCCUCCUAUCUCUCUCGCUUCGUCCUGGACGUGUGACGUCAGUGCGGAUACCUGUUGCAUGCCACACUGAGAGGGAAAGAGAGAGAGAGGGAGAUAGAAAGAGAAGCGUUGGUGCGUGCAACGAAUGAUCGAGGCGCCAAAGAAUCGAGAAAAAAAAAUAAAGAUCGAUCUCUUCCCUCGGGGUAAAAUCUCCUCAGAUUCUGCAUCGCGCAAGGCACGUGCAAGCUUGUUUUCUGAAAAAAAUUAUUUAUCGCGAGAAGAAUCAUCGGAGGAGAAACGUAUCGGAGAGGAUUAUCGAUAUUUUUAAAAAUGUCAGAUUCGGCGAGAGACGAGUACAUCUUGCGCAACGCAUCGUUUCUUUAUCCAUCCGCGACUUUUGUUAAGCACGACGCCGAUUUGUCACGAUUAUUAUCAUCUUUAUAGUGAUAUUAAUCGCGUUCAUAGACUAUGCCGACGAAGCGGCGACAGUCAUUAAAUACCAAUGGCGGAAGGGGCAUCGAGGGUGAGCGCGACUAGCUCGCUGGGCUAGCUUUUCAGAAAGAUCGGAAUCAACGAAAAUAGACGAGGCACGGGGCUGCCGUCUCGUUUGGAUGUUCGCCAGUAAUGUGGCGCCGUGGAAAAAUCUUUAUAACGAGAGAGGAAAAGAGAGAGAGAGAGGCAAAGAGAGGCAAAGAGAGAGAUAGAUCUUACACUCGUUUCACGAGUUAUUCACACUGAGAAAAAAAAGUUGUUAACUUGAC